rnacentral:rRNA from 1 species
GAUGAACGCUGGCGGCGUGCCUAAUACAUGCAAGUCGAGCGAACAGACGAGGAGCUUGCUCCUCUGACGUUAGCGGCGGACGGGUGAGUAACACGUGGAUAACCUACCUAUAAGACUGGGAUAACUUCGGGAAACCGGAGCUAAUACCGGAUAAUAUUUUGAACCGCAUGGUUCAAUAGUGAAAGACGGUCUUGCUGUCACUUAUAGAUGGAUCCGCGCCGCAUUAGCUAGUUGGUAAGGUAACGGCUUACCAAGGCAACGAUGCGUAGCCGACCUGAGAGGGUGAUCGGCCACACUGGAACUGAGACACGGUCCAGACUCCUACGGGAGGCAGCAGUAGGGAAUCUUCCGCAAAGGGCGAAAGCCUGACGGAGCAACGCCGCGUGAGUGAUGAAGGUCUUCGGAUCGUAAAACUCUGUUAUUAGGGAAGAACAAAUGUGUAAGUAACUAUGCACGUCUUGACGGUACCUAAUCAGAAAGCCACGGCUAACUACGUG